AGAGAGAGACAUGCGCGCAUAUCAAUAAGCGGAGGAAAAGAAACUAACAAGGAUCCCCUUAGUAACGGCGAGUGAAGCGGGAAGAGCUCAAAUUUGAAAUCUUCAAGGUUCUACCUUGACGAAUUGUAGUUUAUAGAAGUGUUUUCUGUUAGUGGAGUGGCAAAAGUUCUUUGGAAUAGGACAUCAUAGAGGGUGAGAAUCCCGUAUUUGGUCAUUCCUCCUAGCGUUGUGAUACACUUUCAACGAGUCGGAUUGUUUGGGAAUGCAGUCCAAAAUGGGUGGUAAAUUUCAUCUAAAGCUAAAUAUUGGCGAGAGACCGAUAGCGAACAAGUACCGUGAGGGAAAGAUGAAAAGAACUUUGAAAAGAGAGUUAAACAGGUACGUGAAAUUGUCAAAAGGGAAGCGUUUGACACCAGUGUUGUUUUUCCGAGAAUCAAUUACGAAUGUUUUAUUUUUGAGGAGUUAUGACUUCAUCGGCUUGCUCCUUUCUUUAUGAAACUUUCUUAAUGCACUUUUCGGUUAACAAGUCAACAUCAAUUUCUUUUGUUGUAAAAGGGUAUGAGGAAGGUGGCUUUCUUUUCGGAGAAAGUGUUUAUAGCCUCGUGCCUCUGCAAUCGGAGAGAUUGAGGUCUGCAGCGUAGAUCCUUCGGGGUUAGAUACGUUUGUGCUAAGUUAUAGCUUUUCAUAGACAACCUGUUGACUAUGUUUAGUCUUGUAGCUUACUCGCUUAUGCUAUUUUACCUACGCUUAGGAUGUUGAUAGUCACAGCGUGUAC
rnacentral:rRNA from 1 species